rnacentral:lncRNA from 1 species
GAAACACAUAAAUAAAAGAGAUGACCUGAUUGCAUGUGCUAAUGGAACGACUGGAAUCUAUUUAGAACAUCAAAUGGCAUUGAAAACUAAUGCUUUGCCUCUUCCACCCAUGUAUGUUCCUUGGGUCACUCUUAAUGGUGUUCAUUCAGAACUUAUACAAAAAAGAGCUGAAAAUAAUUUGACAGAUUUGAUCUGUGAAACAUACCAAGGCAAGGAUAAGGAAAAGUACUGCCCUGGUAGAGUUAUCAGCUGAAAGUAAAAUAAAAA